GGUUUGAUGGCGUAGUUGGUUAUUGUAUCUGGCCAAAAUAACAUAUUGAGCAUAAGCUCAUAUACACAGGAGGUCCUCAGUUUGAACCUAAGUUGAAUCA